rnacentral:rRNA from 1 species
GAUGAACGCUGACAGAAUGCUUAACACAUGCAAGUCGAUGGGGAAGUGGUGCUUGCACCAUGGCAACCAUGGCGGACGGGUGAGUAACGCGUAAGGGACUUACCUGCAGGACUGGGAUAACAGGGGGAAACUCCUGACAAGACCGGAUAAUGUCAUGGAGCUGCAUGGCUUUAUGAUGAAAGGAGACGCCUGCGGAGAGCCUUGCGUCCUAUUAGCUAGUUGGUGAGGUAAUGGCUCACCAAGGCGAAGAUAGGUAGCCGGCCUGAGAGGGUGGACGGCCACAAGGGGACUGAGAUACGGCCCUUACUCCUACGGGAGGCAGCAGUGGGGAAUAUUGGACAAUGGGGGCAACCCUGAUCCAGCAAUUCUGUGCGCACGAAGAAGGUUUUCGGAUUGUAAAGUGCUUUCAGCAGGGAAGAAGUAAGUGACGGUACCUGCAGAAGAAGCGACGGCUAAAUACGUG